rnacentral:misc_RNA from 1 species
GUUCCGUAGGUGAAGCUGCGGAAGGAUCAUUAUUGUAUAACCGAGGUGCGAGGGCUGUCGCUGACCCGAAAGGUCGUGCACGCCCGAGUGCCCUCACACACAUCCAUCUCACCCCUAUGUGCACCACCGCGUGGGUCCCCCUUUGGCUUGUUCGGAGGGGGGCUUACGUUUUCACACAAACUUUGUAUGCAGUGUAGAAUGUAUUUUUUGUUUUUGCGAUCACGCAAUCAAUACAACUUUCAACAACGGAUCUCUUGGCUCUC